AGUGCAAUGACGGAGUGGUCUAACGUGCCAGGUUUAGGCCCUGGUCUCUUCGGAGGCGUGAGUUCGAACCUCACUUGCACUA
rnacentral:tRNA from 1 species